UACGUAGGGGGCAAGCGUUGUUCGGAUUCAUUGGGCGUAAAGGGUGUGUAGGUGGCGCCGUAAGUCGGGUGUGAAAUCUCGGGGCUUAACUCCGAAACUGCAUUCGAUACUGCGGUGCUUGAGGACUGGAGAGGAGACUGGAAUUCAUGGUGUAGCAGUGAAAUGCGUAGAGAUCAUGAGGAAGACCAGUGGCGAAGGCGGGUCUCUGGACAGUUCCUGACGCUGAGGCACGAAGGUCAGGGGAGCAAACGGG
rnacentral:rRNA from 1 species